CAAGGACAUCUUGUAUGGGAUCAUGUGCAAGGUGUAGAAGCUAAGUUAAUAAAAUCAGGCUACUCGCAAGUCCAGCAAUAGAGUCCGGAAGCCCCCUGUAUAUUUGAUUGUUUUGGCUGAAAUAAUCAUAUAACUGCUGGUAUGUAUUGGGGAGUGUUGUUGAUUCUCUUCUCAUGAUCAUGAGGUCGUUUAUGGUCAUAGAUACUCGGCACUAACACUUAGGUAGCAAAAUUGUGCAAGAAACGAGUUUUGAGACAAUGCCAUGAAAGCUGACAACUGUUUUCCUUUCCCUGGAUAUCCUAGAUGUUUGCUAAAGUAUCUUGUCAGAUUUCUGAUCUAGUAUGUUCCUUGCAGGCAGAAGUAUGGGGUCUUGAUCCUAG
rnacentral:lncRNA from 1 species